GUGCCCGUGGCUCAGUUGGUAGAGCGAUGGGACGGUAUCCCAUGGUUCCGAGUUCAAAUCCCGGCGAACCCU